UACGGAGGGGGCUAGCGUUGUUCGGAAUUACUGGGCGUAAAGGGCUCGUAGGCGGCCAACUAAGUCGGACGUGAAAUCCCCAGGCUCAACCUGGGAACUGCGUCCGAUACUGGAUGGCUUGAAUCCGGGAGAGGGAUGCAGAAUUCCAGGUGUAGCGGUGAAAUGCGUAGAUAUCUGGAGGAAUACCGGUGGCGAAGGCGGCAUCCUGGACCGGCAUUGACGCUGAGGAGCGAAAGCCAGGGGAGCAAACGGG
rnacentral:rRNA from 1 species